GAUGAACGCUGGCGGCGUGCCUAAUACAUGCAAGUCGAGCGAACAGAUGAGGAGCUUGCUCCUCUGACGUUAGCGGCGGACGGGUGAGUAACACGUGGAUAACCUACCUAUAAGACUGGGAUAACUUCGGGAAACCGGAGCUAAUACCGGAUAAUAUAUUGAACCGCAUGGUUCAAUAGUGAAAGGCGGUUUUGCUGUCACUUAUAGAUGGAUCCGCGCCGCAUUAGAUAGUUGGUAAGGUAACGGCUUACCAAGGCAACGAUGCGUAGCCGACCUGAGAGGGUGAUCGGCCACACUGGAACUGAGACACGGUCCAGACUCCUACGGGAGGCAGCAGUAGGGAAUCUUCCGCAAUGGGCGAAAGCCUGACGGAGCAACGCCGCGUGAGUGAUGAAGGUCUUCGGAUCGUAAAACUCUGUUAUUAGGGAAGAACAAAUGUGUAAGUAACUAUGCACGUCUUGACGGUACCUAAUCAGAAAGCCACGGCUAACUACGUG
rnacentral:rRNA from 1 species